rnacentral:rRNA from 1 species
GACGAACGCUGGCGGCGUGCUUAACACAUGCAAGUCGAACGGAAAGGCCCUGCUUUUGUGGGGUGCUCGAGUGGCGAACGGGUGAGUAACACGUGAGUAACCUGCCCUUGACUUUGGGAUAACUUCAGGGAACUGGGGCUAAUACCGGAUAGGAGCUCCUGCUGCAUGGUGGGGGUUGGAAAGUUUCGGCGGUUGGGGAUGGACUCGCGGGUUAUCAGCUUGUUGGUGGGGUAGUGGCUUACCAAGGUUUUGACGGGUAGCCGGCCUGAGAGGGUGACCGGCCACAUUGGGACUGAGAUACGGCCCAGACUCCUACGGGAGGCAGCAGUCGGGAAUAUUGCACAAUGGGCGGAAGCCUGAUGCAGCAACGCCGCGUGCGGGAUGACGGCCUUCGGGUUGUAAACCGCUUUCGCCUGUGACGAAGCGUGAGUGACGGUAAUGGGUAAAGAAGCACCGGCUAACUACGUG